AUGAGACUGAUCAACACUGCUCUGCUCUUCCUCCUCCUCCUCAUCCUCAGCUGUAAUGCACUGGGGCUCAAACCACAGCUCUUAGGAAGACACACAGUCCAAACCAACUCUCAGCACACAUCUGUCUCAUACAAAACUUUCUAUUUUGAUCAACAGUUGUCGAGGGGAUAUCCUUUCAGCAUCUGUUGCUGGCUGUGGAUGGAGAAAUGGAGAGCGCUGUUUGACAAGCAACCAAGAGCAGAGCUGUUUUCAAAUCCAUUAGACAGAACAAAAAGCACUAAUGUGUACAAAAUACGGUGCGAUGUUGACAAAAAACGAAAUCUCAAUCAUUUUUUGGGCUUUCUUCAGUUCUAAUACACUACUGGUUUGCAGUAGAUGAUGUUUUUUUAAAGAUGUUUUUUAAAAUAGUAGUCUCUUGUGCUCAGACUCCAUUUAUUUGAUUACAAAAAAACAGUAAAAACUAAUAUAAUGAAAUAUUAUUUCACUUUAAAAUAAGUUUUAUGAUUUUGACAUAUUUUAAAAUGUAACAUUCCUGUGAUGACAAAGCUGAAUUUUGAGCAGCCAUUACUUACAGUUUUUGCAGUAUGCAUAUAUUGAGUGGGGCUAUUCAAUAUUUAGAAUGCAAUCAUAUUGUUAGACCUGCAUUCUAAUAAGCUAUAUAACGCAGUGAAAACAUGCACUCUUAAGGUGCAUUUUUGAAAAUAAGUGACACAAUACUCAAUCAUUUGAGGUUGCACAUCGAUAAAACAAAAAUUCUGUAAUGAUCAUGGAAAAUACAUAUCGCACACCCCUAUUAAAAAACUAGAUAUUUACUCUUAUGAUGAAAACAUAGAGUAAGUGCUUCUUUCUUGUACAAUAUUUGCUACCAUAAUGCUAUAUAUGGUCGCUAAGGGAUUCGGUAUGCUUUUUAGGGUGUUGUUAUGUGGUUUCUAAGGUAUUCUAAAUGGUUGCUAUGCAGUUGCUUACUUGGAGAGGUUUUGUACCCUAUAGAACAAAGAUAUCUGGAAAAAUAGAUAUGUUCAACAUGCAGCAAAUGGUAUGCAUAUAGUACACCAGUUUAUUCCCUGUCAUGGUUUUUGAAACCCAUAUGACUUU
ensembl:lncRNA